rnacentral:rRNA from 1 species
UACGAAGGGGGCUAGCGUUGCUCGGAAUCACUGGGCGUAAAGGGUGCGUAGGCGGGUCUUUAAGUCAGGGGUGAAAUCCUGGAGCUCAACUCCAGAACUGCCUUUGAUACUGAGGAUCUUGAGUUCGGGAGAGGUGAGUGGAACUGCGAGUGUAGAGGUGAAAUUCGUAGAUAUUCGCAGGAACACCAGUGGCGAAGGCGGCUUACUGGUCCAUUACUGACGCUGAGGUGCGAAAGCGUGGGGAGCAAACAGG